ensembl:snoRNA
AUCCUUUUUCUGUUCAUAAGCAUGAUGAUUGGGUAUUCACACAUUUGUUUGAUAUGUGCCAUCCUAAAUCUUGUUACACAUUUGAAACAUUACUGGUCUAAUG